AUAUCAAUAAGCGGAGGAAAAGAAAAUAACAAUGAUUCCCCUAGUAACGGCGAGUGAAGCGGGAACAGCUCAAAUUUGAAAUCUCAGGCGUUUACGUCUGCGAAUUGUAGUUUAGAGACGCGUUUUCGGUGGCGGCUGCAGUACAAGUUCUUUGGAACGAGACAUCAUAGAGGGUGAGAAUCCCGUCCAUGACUGCGUGCCCGCUACUAUGUGAUACGUGCUCAAAGAGUCGGUUUGUUUGGGAAUGCAGACCAAAAUGGGUGGUAAAUACCAUCUAAAGCUAAAUAUUGGCGAGAGACCGAUAGCGCACAAGUA
rnacentral:rRNA from 1 species